GAGAGAGAGAGAGAGAGAUACCUUUUAUACAGUGUCUCUAAGAGAAAAAUCACAAGGCGCUUCACAAAAAGUAGACCAAAGUAUAAAAAAGAUUUCAAAAAAUGAUUACAAAUAUUUUUGAAAUGAGAAAUAUUUUUUAUUGAGAUUAAAAUUUUGUAAGUAGAGAGAAAGUAAAUAGGAAAGAGGGAAAUCGGUGGAUCCCGGGAAAGGCGAAUAAGAGCAGAAUAUGGAGAGGGUGGUGAAGUUCACCAAAACCAGCUUGAACAGGUGAGUUUUCAGCUGCUUUUUAAAGGAGACCACUGAGUCCACUGAUAGGCUCAGAGGGAGAGAGGUCCAGAGUCUGGGGGCAACAGCAGCAGAUGAUCUGUCUCCUUUGGUCUUUAGCCUGGAGAGACACAGGAGAGACAUACGUUGUACAAAACAUAAGGGGACAUGAUGGAACAGGUGUGAUAAAUACUGAUCUGUUGCAGGUGUGACAGGCUAAUGGGGCACUGAGGGAACAAAGACAAUGGGCGAACAGAAUUGUAGGCUGGCUGAACAAAACCACUGACUAACAGAACACGAUGAACACUGGAAAUGAAUGAGUAUGGGAGGAGUAACAUUGCAGUAAAAAAUCAACUUAACACUUGGGGUGGACUAUAAAACAUAAGGCUAAAUUAGGGAACAACGAACAGAAAACAGAAGGAUGACCAUCUACUGCAAUAAACUAAAAUUAAGACGAGACAGAACACAACCCUGGAAAAGAAUAUUUAAAUAGCGAGGACAACUAAAAUGACACUUAUAAAAACAACUUGAGCUGCAAGCAGUUAUCAACGGGUUCCAAGCCAACCAGCACAAGUAUUAGAUGCUCCUAUAGAGAAACCUUACAUAAACAAGUGCGUGUACACACACAGGUGCUCACAUGGUGCUCUCAUAAGUAUGGACUUGGGCACGUUCAACACGCCUUAAGGCUGUGGUUGGCACUAAAUGCACUGUGAUUUAUUAUAGUGUGAUUGUUCAGUGUAUUGUUGUGUGUCCCUUUUGUGCAGGUCUAGAAGCAGACUUGUUUAUUCUUGUGUAAAGAUGCAGGAGUAAAGAUGCAGAAACUACCAUUGAUAAGAGAUGUGUUUAACUUUGAAAAUGUGGGCGCAAUUUUAAGGGCACAAUUUUAAUUGUUUAAAACUCCAGCGAACCAACCCGCUUCAGGUGUAUGACGUCAUCAGCGACUAGUCAAAGUCGACUCAACUUUCAUUACUUGACUGUCGACUUUAAAACAAAUUACGUGAUGCAGCCCCUAGUGUGUACAGGUGUCAGAGGACACAAACCCCGUCUUGAACAUCCGAUGACCUGUAUAGUGUACUCUGUGUAGAAUUUUGUACUGAAUUUAUUGUAAAUUGGGGUGUCUGAUCAUUUUAAAAGUUUUUAAACAAGUUUGGGACCAGAAGUUCUGGUCAUAGCUGACUGAUAGAUCCACCUCCCAUUUUUCAAUAGGGAUUACUAUUCUAUCGUCUAUUUUGGACAGUGUCUUAUAUACUUUAGACAGUAGUUUGGGGGGGUUUGAGAUUAUAGAAGUCUAAUACCCUUGGUGGUGUUUGUAAUUCUAUUUUAUUGAGCUUAAAUUUUUGUUUUACUACAGAUUUAAUUUGGUGAUAUUCUAAAAAGCUAUUCUUAUCCAUUCCAAAUUGGGAGACUAUUCUAUUAAAUGGGAUGAAGUCCAAUCCUUCAUAUAUGUGUUCCAGGUAUAGGAUUCCUUUAUUUUUCCAGUCCGGAAGGUUAAUCAUUUUAUUAUUUUCCAAAAUAUCAGGAUUAUUCCAGAUAGGUGUGUGUCUGCAUGGUACUAUUGAAGACUCUUUCAUUUUUAGAUACUCCCACCAUGCUGUCAGAGAGGUGCUGAUACUAAUACUUUUGAAGCUUUCAUGUUUUCUUAUGCUAGAGCUAAUAAAUGGUAAGUCUGAAAGCUCUAUCGUAUUGCAAAGUGUCUGUUCUAUAUCUAACCAGGACUCGUCUAGUGGGUUAUCUUGCAACCAUCUUGGUAUAUAUUGCAGCCUGUUGGCUAAGAAAUAAUAAUAAAAGUUGGGUAGAUCCAGUCCUCCUCUGUCUUUGGUCUUCUGAAGCGUUUUAAGCUAAUUCGUGGAGGUUUAUCCUGCCAAAGGAAUUUGGUAAUUGAGGAGUCCAGAGAUUUAAACCAGUCAGAUGGUGGCUUGUUUGGGAUCAUUGAAAAUAAGUAAUUUAUUCUGGGUAAGACCAUCAUUUUAAUUGUAGCAACCCUCCCCAUGAGUGAUAUCGGUAACGAUUUCCAUCUUGCAAGGUCAUUUUCCACUUUCUUUAAAAGUGGGAUGUAGUUUAAUUUGGUUAGAUCUGCCAGAUUAUUUAUGGACCAUAAAAACACUUCUCAUUAAUUCAGAUAGUCAGUAUAUAGUUUAUAAAAUGAAUUUAAUUAUUUCCCUAAACUAAUGAUACAUAAAAUAAAAUAAAAUCAACUUUAUAUAGCACUUUUAAUACAAAAAAAUGCAACUCAAAGUGCUUCACAGAUUAAAAUGGCCCCAUAGAUCCCAUAUUUGCAUCCCAGCCCCCUGCCCAAGUAUAAAACAAUUGACAGCUACGGUUCCCCUCCCGCACCCAACUUCCAAAGUGGACAUAAGCUCACCCGCACACUCGUCCAUGCGCGCGCGCGCACACACACACACACACACACACACACACACACACACACACACACACACACACACACACACACACACACACACACACACGUGAACAACAAAGGAAACAAUAGGCUGAGUUCAGAUGGGUCAGGUAAUGAACGACACAUCAUCAGCAGAGCCAUCUGCCCUGACAGCAACAAAUCCACUGCAGCAGCCAAGACACCGGCCCAUGACGCCCAGUGGGGGGGUGCAGAUACCCCCACCACUGCCCGGGCACUAGUCGAGGAGCGCCCCGGCCACCGCCGCCGACCACCGGCCCCAAGGCAGAGGGCUCCGCAGUGGAAACACUGGAGGAUUAAAAUAUAUAACUGUAAAAUAACAAAAGCUAAUAUGGAUAAAAAGUAACUGAUAAAAAGUGAUUAUAAAGAUGGUAAAAGAAAGCAUAAUCAUGUAAAAACACUAAGAUGUAAAUAAAAUGAUAAAUUAAAAGAGAUAAAUAUGUAUAUAUAUAUACAGGGUCCGAAAUUAAAUUUUUUACUCACCGGCCAAGUUGGCUGGUAGAUGAUGAAAAUCUACCGGCCAAGCAUAUUUUUUACCGGCCAAAUUUCUAAAUGAUUUAGAUCUACCUAAAGCAUGUUAUUCUAUAUUAUGUUGAUUCCAAACAGAGUGUCAAAAUAAUUAAAACAUGAAUUAAUAAGAAAAACAACUCUUUUGUCAUUUUUACUAUUUAUUUAUUUAUUUUUAGAGAUGUUUUUAUGAACUCUUUCAUUGAAAUCUAGUCAGACUCCUUGUUUUCUCUGUCCAUGAAGUCUGGCCUCCUGCUUCUGACACCGUCUUUGUGCCAAAGCAUUACAGCCUCAUUUGGGUCCUAGUCCUUGAUCUCUGGAGAACACAGCUGCACCAUGAGAAUAUCUGAAAGUGUGUCGGGGCUAGGGUUGUCACGGUAACCGGUGUAGCGGUAAACCCCGGUAAAAAAGUUGACAAUAAUAAUAACCGUCUUGUUUAAAAAAAAAAAAUAUAUAUAUAUAUAUAUAUAUAUAUAUAUAUUAUCUCGGUGGAUUACCGUGGCUGCGGUGUAGGCGCGGUGACCCUUACCAGCCACCGUAUCAUCUGCUGAAGUUGCCGGCGGCACAUGCGCACUUUGUUGUUUACGACCAAAACUUUCUUUAAGCUAAAGCUGAAAUAAUGGCCAGAGGAGACGGCACUCGGGACAUUUAUUAUCCCUCAAAGAAGACAAAGUCGGAAGUAUGGGCAUUUUUUGGAUAUUUGAAGAAUGCCGAGGGACAGUUGUCUGUGAAAGGCAGCAACGCUACGUGACCAUCAUAAUGUAGCCGUUGUCUCACGACUCCGCCAUCUCCAGUUCGCCACUUUUCACAAAAUCUUCUGGUUGCCACUGGUCCUGGUGGUUUUUCUUCCAGUUCGACGAGUUUUCUUUUGGAAGGCUGGCUGACUCCAGUUAAAAACCGCCACAUUUCACCGCUAGUUUUAACACGAAGCUAACUGCUAACUUGAUAAACUGAUUGAAUGGGAUAGGUGGAAAUGACUUUGGAUGCGGCGCUCACGUUUCACGUAAGUUUGUGUAAGUUGCAUGCAGGCGGGAGGAGUAUCAGAAAUCCAUGGAAGAUGACUGAUAAACAUAACUAAUUUGGUGCAAAUGUUUACUCGCCAGGUGGCAGGUAGAGCUCAAAAAUGUAUAUAUAUAUAUGUGUAAACAAAUAUGACAGACCAUUCAGUUAAACAGACUAGAUAAAUGAUACAUGACAAGAUAUGAAUAGUGAGAUGUGAUGGAGUGGAUAUGCGGUGAUGGAAUGUGAUGUGUAGGCGGUGUGAUGUAAGUUAGAUGUUUAUCAGAAUCUUUGUAUCUGAGAGAAAUUGUGAAAUUUGUGUGUAAAAGAAUUUGUUGUUUGUUAUAGAGUUAGUUGUCAAUAAAAACCUCAUCAAACACCAGUAUGCAGGCUUACGAUACCCUUGUAUGAGUUGAUCCCGGUGUCGGUACAGGAUCUGCUCGGGUGCAAGAUCAGCUCGGGGUCCUUCGACUGCCGAUGAUGUCAAAGUAGUUGAUUGGCUGAACAUGAACCUUACGGAAGUUACACAAUCACAUUACGUUGUUAUCAUGUUACGUUGUUAUCACGUUACGUUGGUCCAGGCAAAUCUUUCUGUUGGAAAGAUGGACAACUUUUACAAAGAAAUCCAUCAUUACCUCUUUGAAAAUACACUUUUAGCAUAGAGCUGCAUGUAUAUUAGGGCUGAACGAUUAACUGCAUGUGCAAUUAAAUUGCGAUGUGACAAAAGGAGAUUUUCGAAUCGCAAAGGCUGCAAUUUGGCAGCGAGUGGUUAGCGCAACGCUAAUAUACAUGGAAAAACCCAUAGGAAUGCUAAUGCUAAUAUCACUGAUUACAUUCUUACAAAUUAUGAAUUAGAAACGUGCCAAAUGAUUACAUUUGGAGUCUAAUAGAAUGUAAAACUACCAUCAAUCAAAUAAGUAGACAGACAGGUAUUUUAGUACAGCCAGAACUCGAGCGUUUCGGCUAGCAGCUAUGAGCGUAACUGAACUACGCAUGGACAAGACGUCAAAAACUCUAAACACAAAAUACUUCAAUAAACGGGACACACUUCUUUCCUGCAAAUACAAUUUCACAGGUGUUGCUAAUACCUAUGAUCCUUCAAGGGAUGUGCUCAAAGAGGAGUUCAACAUUAUGAAUACAAUAUAGUGUUUUAUUUUACAAAUGCCAUUAUAAACACAAACUUACGUCGUUAGAAACAUUAUUUUAAUAACGAAACUGCUAAAUUCUUUCCAACAGUAUAGAUGUGUAGUGUAUUUUGUCCGAAUGGGUUUGCCGUACAUUGACGUCAUCGGCAGUCGAAGGACCCCAAGCCGAUCUUGCACCCGAGCAGAUCUUGUACCGACACCGGCGGUCUGGAGGUUUGCGAUCAGAGUAGGUUGUCACGGUGAGAAAAUUUAACCUCACAGUUAUUGUGACCAAAAUUAUCACGGUUUUCAGUAUUGUCGCGGUAUUUUUUUAAACGUGUUACAUUUUCAGACAACAAAAUAAACCCUGUAUAUCAGGAAAAUAUUGUCCUCAGUUUGUCUAAAUUUUCCCUAAAAUGGUUAUUUUGUAAUUAUGUUAUUUAUUUGUUUACAUUUUUCCCCUUUAGUCUUUAAAAUACCAAUAUUUGCCCAUAACUUCUUAUUUUAUGUCUGUUUGAUGUCAUCAUUUUAAAAAUAUUCGACCAGAUGAUACUCAGUACUCAAGUAGCCUUCUAAUCAGAUACUUUUUUACCCUUACUUGAGUAAUAAACCCCUCGGUUUGUGUCCUUCCAGUGAGCUUUGCAGAUGUGGGAAAAUGUCAUCAGGCAGUAAUCAUUGUUAAAUUCAUAAUUAUUCUCGGAGAGAGACCAACUCUUAUCUGCCCCUGGGAGCCCCGUAAUGCAUAGCGUCAUUUCAACAUGGCGGUGUCCGCGACACGGUUUAUAUGCAGGUAGCGGCGCUGCGGCUGCUUUAUAUAGCGACUCGUUGCAUUCUCCCUCAACCCAAAUCCUCGGAUCACACAUUUUAGCUAAAGCGCUAACGUUAACUUGCCUUGCGUUGACUGUAGAGUUGUGGGUGAUGGUCACGCAGAUGUGUCAUGAGAUUUGAAGCGCUGCUGCCUUUCACAGACACUUUUUCUGCACGCGCUGCAAACAGGAUAGCCGUCUUCUAUCAACUGUCCCUCGGCAUUCUUCAAAUAUCCAAAAAAUGCCCGUACUUCCCACUUUGUCUUCUUUGAGGGAUAAAAAUGUCCUCCUGAGCGCUGCCGUCUCCUCCUUUAGCCAUUAUUUCAGCUUUAGCUUCAAGAAAGUUUUGGUUGUAAACAACAAAGUGUGCAUGUGCCGCCGGCAACUUCAGCAGAUGAUACGGUGGCUGGUAAGGGUUUUAUUUAUUAUUAUUAUUGUCAACCUUUUUACGGGGGUUUACCACUACACCUGUUACCGUGACAACCCUAACGGUGGCUCUGGAUGUUUCUACUCCAGACUCAUUUCACUGCUUCCGCAGGUCCCCCAAGGUCUGGAAUCGGUCCUUCUCCACAAUCUUCCUCAGGGUCCGGUCAACUCUUCUCGUUGUGCAACGUUUUCUGCUACACUUUUUCCUUUCCACAGACUUCCCACUGAGGUGCCUUGAUACAGCACUCUGGAAACAGCCUAUUCGUUCAGAAAUUUCUUUCUUUGUCUUCCCCUCUUGCUUGAGGGUGUCAAUGAUGGCCUUCUGGACAGCAGUCAGGUCGGCAGUCUAACCCAUGAUUGCAGUUUUGAGUAGUGAACCAGGCUGGGAGUUUUUUAAAAGUCUCAGGAAUCUUUUGCAGGUGUUAAGAGUUAAUUAGUUGAUUCAGAUGAUUAGGUUAAUAGCUCGUUUAGAGAACCUUUUCAUGAUAUGCUAAUUUUUUGAGAUAAGAAUUUUGGGUUUUCAUGAGCUGUACGCCAAAAUCAUCAAUAUUAGAAACAAUAAAAUGCUUGAACUACUUCAGUUGUGUGUAAUGAACAGUGUUGGGAACGUUACUUUAAAAAAGUAAUUAGUUAUAGUUACUGAUUACUUUGUCAAAAAAGUAACUCAGUUACUGAGUUACAAGAUCAUAAAAGUAACUAAUUACCAACAAAAAUAACUACUUAGUUACUUUUUUCAUUAAAGCAUGCAAGAAUUACUAUAAUAUAAAUGACUAAUGACUGGAACAUAAUAAAAUGUAUGUCCAAAUGUUUUUUUUUAUAAACCUGAAUAAUUUAAAUAAAUAAGCACUUAACAGGAGCAUUACACUAAUCUAGACUAUUAAAAGGUCACUGUGUGAUAUUCAAGACCCCAAUCAGCAAAAAUUUAAAAUUGCAAAUAGAAACACCUGUAAAGGUUCCCGUGCCUUUAAAUGGUAUCUCAGUCUAGUUAAAUUACAGAAAUAAAUGUAAUUUUGUGUAAUAAUUGUGUGUUUUAGCAGCAUUUCUGCUGCUGGUAAUCUAGUAGUGGUUAAAUAAAUAAAUAAAUAUCCUUUAAAAUGACACUAGAAGAGGCACAAGCCUGAUGGAGGACUUACAUUUACUAACGUGGGUCAGACCCAACCACAGAAGAGCUGAAGCUGGGUGGUAAACACACACAGGUAGUUCUAAUAACACCUGAGCACCAUGACGUCUGAGACUGAUGCAUCAGUGUUACAGCGGGACUAAAGACAUGAUCAGAAACAGGUUACAGCUGGAUGAUCUAGGAAGGCAGAAGAUCAGGAUGUCUGAGCGGUGAACAGGUGAGCGGACCUUCGGGACGUCCCGCUGUCGCGCUAAGAAGGGCACGGGUCUGCCGAUCCACAUCUGCAGCAGCGAAUCUGCGGGUCUGCAGCCGUAGAUAUUCAUCACGUCUUCCUCGUUCUUCACGGGCCGUGAUGCUCUUAAACAUCUACCUCUUUAGCUCCUGAUCAGCUGAUGACUGCUUCAACACACCGCACUGCUUAAUGCACGCAUUUCCUUAUCAGUAACAGAAACGAGGUUUUGUUAAAAGAAGACGUAAUUAAUUAGUUUGCUCGUUACAGAAAGAAAUAUUUUUUUACUAACGUGGUUAUUUUAAGUGGCAUUAUUACCAUCACUUGCUGUGUCUACUCUACAACAUGCAGCGAAUGAGACCGUGAGGGUCUCCGCCCACCCGGCCAAUCAUCAUCGUGUUUAUAAGUGUGUUACCGACACCUCUCUCUCCCUGGCUGCAGCUGAAGUGUAGCGGUCAGAAAGCCUCACACUGCUGCUCCACGUUCGACAAGCACAUAGUAACGCACAACCUUCCAUCCCCAGUAAUGGUAACGGCGUUGCAACGGCGGGAAAAUAAUUAAUUAGAUUAUUCCGUUACCUAUAAAAGAACGCCGUUAGAAAUGCCGUUAUAUUUAAACUGCGUUACCCCCAACACUGGUAAUGAAUCUAAUAUGUAUGAAAGUCUAAUGUUUAUCAGUACAUUACUGAAAAUAAUUAACUUCAUCACAAUAUGCAAAUUUUUUGAGAAGGACCUGUACAGUCAUACACAGAUGCAGUCACACACUCCCUCCCUCAUGCUCACACAUGCACAUACAACCUAAGACUUACAAAAAUGCACGCCGGACACCCACUCAUGCUCCCCAUACACACCCUAUUCACUCUGGUUCCGGUACUGCUGCACAUGGGGUACAACCAUCACCGGUUCCCAGAGUUCGACCCUUUCUGCUGGGGUGCUGAUGAGCAGGCUCCCCCGCCCAUCGCUGAGCAAAGCAACCCACCACCCCAGACCCCAACCAGGCAGCCAGAUCCCCCUCCUCACCUCCAGCCCCGGGAAGCCAGGUGACAACAUAGGUGUGCUAAGACCCUUAGUCUCCCUCCGCCUGCUCCGAUAUAGUGUUAGUCCUUGUUGAUGAGGUGUAUUCCAUGGCUGUGGUGAGCGGGCAGUGCAAGCAUCAUCUGGCCUACGCCAGCUAACGCCACCACACCACCCCACUUGCACCCACAGCCCUCUGUGUCUAAGUGCCACAAACUUAUUCUUAAAACUCCCAGCUUCUCAGCAAAAACAAACUCCUCCAGUCUCUAAACAUCCCGACUUUGGAGCAAAAAAUGAAAAUGACACAUAAAUGAUUUCAACUUGAUUAAAAUAUGUGGAGAAAUGAGAGCUGAAGUGGACCACCGGCAUUGCCAUGGACGCAUUUCAUCACAGAGCGAUCUAACUAAAUAGCGUUUUUAAUAUUAUUUUCAAUAGCGUAACUAAUCAAGCAGCUGGUGGUCUCCAUUUUAGUUCUGAUAUCUCUGUAUUCCUUGUAUGCAUGAAUUAGUAGUUCUUCCUAACUCUGGGAGAAGAAUGAGUCUCUGUCCUUUCCUUUCAUUAUCAUUCAUGUAGCAUCACUUAAAUGGCUGCCUGUGGAUGUGCAUGAGGCUCGCUUGUCGCUCCUCGCUUGACUUAAAGACAAUUGAAUCCACUUGAGCAUCAUUGGUGUUACUGUCGAAUUCUUGAGUGAACAAGAGUGCUUUUUCAAGUAGGGAUUUAUCAGGAUACCCCAGAUGUUCUGAGCUCGCUUAGAGAUGCAAAAACGAUAUUUAUUUUCAAAAACUAAUUAAAAAUGAAAUUCUGGAAUCAUAUACGUGCAAAUCAAUUGUAUAAAAAAAUAAAUAAAUAAAUAAAGCUAUAGAAGAUGUGUGUAGGCAUAUUCAUGUGUGUAUGUAUAAAUAAAUCAAUCAAUCAAUCAAAGCUUUAUUUAUAAAGCGCCUUCCGCAACCCUGUCAGGAAGCCCAAAGCGCUGAACAUGGUACAGUUGAAGGUAAAUAUAUUGAAUAAAUCAAAAAUAAAAUUACAAAAUACAAAUUACAAAAUAGGUGAAACAUUCUGGUACAGGACAAAUGUGUAAAACAAUGGAUUUAGUGAACCAAUGAAAACUGUGGAAUAAAUUCAACAUAAAAGAGGGCCAAAAUCAAACAUGUUCUGGAAAUGCCAAGCGGAGGAGGUGUGUUUUUAGGUGUGUUUUUAGGCGACUCUUAAAGACUGGCAGAGAUGGGGACAGCCUAACUGAGGGUGGCAACUGGUUCCAGUGUGACGGUGCUAGGACUGAGAAAGCCCGGUCCCCGCGAGUACGACACCUAGAGCGAGGGACAGCGAGCAGGCCUUGGUCAGAGGAGCGCAGAGCGCGUGAUGGGGGAGUGUCUGUUCAGGAGUGUGGCUAGAUAGGGGGGACCACCACCCUGGAAGAAAUGAUAAACAAAGACGAGGAUUUUGAAUUGUGAGCGAUAGCAAACCGGAAGCCAGUGCAGGGAGGCCAGAACCGGACUGAUGUGGUCCCGUUUCCUGGUCCCAGUCAGGAACCUGGCUGCGCUGUUCUGCACAACCUGUAGGCGACACAGUGUUGACUGACACAACCCUGCAUAGAGAGAGUUGCAGUAGUCAAGCCUAGAAAUAACAAAGACAUGCAGUACCCGCUCCAGGUGGGCUCUCGACAGCAUAUGCUUGAUUUUUGCAAGGCGUCUAGGGAUGGGUACCGAAUUCGGUACUUUUUAAGGUACCGACCGUAUUCCAUAGUACCAAUCGAGCACCGAUUCACGUAAUUUCAAACGGUGCCUCGUUUCGGUACCCGUCCUUCAUAAAGAGAACUUGCGAAGACAGCUGCGCAUGCGCAAGAGUGUUAUGUUGUCGCUCGCUGUGAGCCAGUUGUAAACAGAGCAGCAUGGUAGAAAGAACGCACGCUAACGCUUGGGUCCACUUCACUAAAUGUGAUGGGUAACUGGGUGAUGAUGAAACCAGCGACAACGAUCUAAGUGAGACAUCCUCAUCUUAAUCUGCUCCGGUAAGUAAAUAAAAUGUUUAAGAUAACGUUAGCUUGAUAUGUUAGCUUGCAUUUCGCUAAUGGUGCCUUAAAUCGUUGUCACUGGUUUCAUCUUCACCCAAUCACCUGUCACAUUUAGUAAAGUGAAGCCAAACUUUAGAGCGCGCUCAUGUUCUUCUAGUCGGAAAUUCGGAGUUCCGAGGAGAAAGCGAACGCCAUCAUCGUUUUAAUCUGCUCCAGCAGCUAAAUAAACUGUUUAAGAUAACGUUAGCUUGAUAUGUUAGCUUCCAUUGCCACCGUUGUUAUCAGCUAAUGGUGCGUUCGCUUUCUUCUCGGAAAUUCUAACUUCCCAGUAGGAAAAAUCAAAUGGCAAAAGGAAUGAAGAUACACAGAAAAUUUAGUUCACAGUAAAGAUGUUUGCUUCCGUUUAAUUAUCAGCUUAUAAAACUACAAGGACAAUGUUAAAAUACAAACAGUUGAAUGUUAUUUAUCGUGAUAUUUAUCAAAUAUUGUUAUAUAUUGAGAAAAAUAUAUAUUUAAUUAUAAAAGAGAAUUAAAAUAUUAAACAGUCAAAAGUAUUGAAAAUUGUACCGUUAAGUACCGGUAUCCAUUCCUAGGUACCGGGAAUUAGUACCGAAUCGAUUCAAAUGUCAAAGGUACCCAUUCCCAAAGGCGUCUCGGGUGAAAGAAACUGGACCGGAUCACAGAAUUGAUGUGAGCAUCAAAUUUAAGUCCAGCAUCAAGUUUCACCCCCAAACUGGUAACAACUGGUUUUGAGUAGGGAGAUAGAGGGCCAAGAUCAACAUAACGAUCCACAUUCUUGCUGUUGAGGUGAAAAACAAUUAGCUCUGUCAUUCCCUCAUUCAGAUGUAGAACGUUGGCCAUUAGCCAAGACUUCCCCUCGUUAAGACAGGACACAAAGGACUGGAUAGAGUGACCUUUCUCCUGAAACAAUGGAGAGUAAAUCUGGCAAUCGUCAGCAUAGAGAUGGAAUGAUAGGCCAUGUUUACGAAAGAUUGACCCCAGAGGUAGCAGAUAAAUGGCAAACAAAAGAGGACCAAGGAUCGAUCCCUGCGGGACCCCCCAGCGGAGCCCCUCCCAAGAAGAAAAAACAUCACCCAGUUUAACACAGAAUGUCCUGUUGUGGAGAUACGAUCUAAACCAGUCCAGAGCAGACCCUUUGAUCCCAACCCAUCGUUCCAAGCGAUCGAGUAGAAUCGCGUGGUCGACUGUGUCGAAGGCUGCUGUCAGGUCUAAUAAUAGAAGCAGCACAGAUGUACCCUGAUCUAGUGAUAGAUAGAUGUCAUUUAGGACCCUCAGUAGAGCAGACUCUGUGCUAUGGCCAGACCUGAACCCUGAUUGAAAAACCUCAACCAGAUCAGAGUCAGCUAAAUGUGAGACCAGCUGCUGAUAAACGACUUUCUCGAGCAGUUUUGAUGUGAAAGGCAGGGUAGAGAUAGGCCUGUAAUUUUCUAUCACAGAGACAUCAGCACCAGGUUUCUUCAGGGUCGGCCGAAUAACUGCUGCUUUCAAAGCAGCUGGGACCACACCUGUGCUGAGGCUCCCAUUGAUAAUCUGACCAAGACACGGAAAGGCAGCCUUCCAGAGACGAGGCGGCAGAAAGUCAAGUGGAGAGCCAGAUGGCUUCUGCCUCGCAACAAGCUUACUCAGCUCAGAGUAUGAAACUGUAUUGAGGGAGCUCAGGGUGGGUGGUGAUGGAGGAACUGGAACAGGGUCAACAGAGUUACCAGAAAUAGCUGCUCUAAUGCCUGAUACUUUAUGAACAAAGAAUCUGUGAAAAGCUUCAGAGUUUCCAGCAGCUGUAGGAGACAUGGAGCUAGGCUCCUGAUACACCAGAACAGAAUUAAGUGUUUUGUAGACAAUCCUGGGAUUCUUUGAGUUUGUUUCGAUGAUGUCUGCAAAAUAGGCCGUUCUGGCAGCCCUCACAGCAUCCUGAUAAGCAACCAGAGAUGCUCUGAACAACUCACGCGAGACCUGUAGGCCAUACUUUUUCCACUUUCUCUCAGAGGAUCUACACGCCCGCCUGCAAGCCCGUGUGACAUCAGAGAGCCAAGACUCCCUCCUAGGACUAGACUUGCUAAGCUUGAGAGGGGCAACCACGUCCAGGACCUGAUUACAAAGUACAUCAAAGUGUGGUGAAUAGUGUUCAGUGUUAGAUGGAUCUGGGUUAACGGACUCUAACCUUACAGACAUACAGUCCACAAACUUUGAAAUAGUUUCUGCAUCCAGGGCUCUGAACCUAGUAGCUGGAGCUUCACACACAGGGACAGGACAUGGCAGCGUAACAUCACAGAGUAUUGGAGAGUGGUCAGAGAACACAGGAGGCAAAGUCACCAGGUUCAUGACAGGGAGACCAUAAGAGAUAACCAGGUCCAGGGUGUGACCCCUGGCAUGAGUUGGGGAUGAUACCCAUUGAGUUAGAUUGAAUGAAUCUAGCAAAUUCAAAAAACCUUUAGCAAGCACAUUGUCAGGACAGCAGAUAUGGAUGUUAAAAUCACCAAAAAAUAGGACAUAAUCAUAUUUUAGGAUGCAGUCUGCCACAAGAUCACAGAAAUCAUUAAGGAAGUUAGAGUCAGUCUUUGGAGGCCGAUAAAUCAGCACAACAAGCAGGCGGGGGGAGAGGCACAGUUCAAAGGAAGAAAAUGACAUGGUGGGUGUAAGCUGUUUACAAGGAAAGCUGAAUUUAAAAACAGCAACCAGCCCUCCACCUCUGCCCCGUGAUCUGGGGAUAUUAAAACAGGAGCAGCCAGGUGGUACCAGCUCCAGCAGGGCGCUUGAGUCACCAAACGGGAUCCAGGACUCACAGAUGCACAGAAAACUCAAGUCAUGCUGAAUAAAAAAGUCACAAAGAAUAAAAGUUUUGUUCAGCACAGACCUGGCAUUGACUAGACCAAACCGGGUCUGCGGCGGGGCAUGCGGCACCGAGAUCGCGCACGAGCACAGUCCCCUUAAACUCUGUGCCUGUAACUGAGCGCAGAUUCUCCCAACAAACCCCAGUCUGGUGAGAUCUUCGAGCCGGUUCACCCUCAGAGCCGGCCAAGUUCCUUGGGCAGGGCGUCGAGUAAUCCAGGAGACAUCUCGGAACCACCGGGUCAGAAGCUGGACCGAAUCGGGCCAGCCGCUUGUUCAGGGAUCCAGGCCGACGUCUCACGCGCCGGCUACCUCUCUUUCCCUGUCUUCUCCGAUGCUUCCUUCUCGAGCUGGGGCGGACAGAGGGCUUGGGGGGAGAGAGCAAAUGGGCAGUCCAACCAGCAGCACCAUCCGUGAGGUUCCCAGCUCAUGCAGCCCGGUUCCCAGCGCGCGCAGCCCGCUACAUCAACGGAAGGACGAAGCCUCAGCAGCGCAGCCCGAUCGUAUGUCAGCAGAGGAUCCACACCAUUCAAAAAAGGCAUCAGCAACAAGAAAAAUGCAUAAAAGCCAAUAAAACGCCAAUAAAAACAGUAAAAAGCAAGGUACCAGUGCAUAAAGAGGACGAGCAGCUCGCAGCGUGCACCCGUGCGAGCGCCAUCUUACUCUGUCAUAAAUAAGUAUGUAUGUUUGUGUAUGUGUAUAUGUAGUGGAUACAUGUGUAUGUCUAUAUAUGUACAGAUGAAGUAUGUGCGACCAUAUGGGCAUGCAAUGCACUUAAAUGUAUAUAUGUAUGAAUAGGUAUAUGUGCAAAAAUCCUUUUGCGUUUUGAAUUGUUAUUAUUACUAUUCAUUUUCUCAUCUUUACAAAUUGAACUCAAGUCAGCUAACCAGUCUAGCAAUUACUUUGUAUAGGCUAAUUUAUAAUUAUUGUUAUUUCAUUGUAAAAAUGUCAUUUUAGUUAAAAAGGGGCAGGUAACAAAAGUUUUCUUCUUUCUGUUCCCUUUUUAUUUUCUUGGUUUGAGAAACCUCAUUUUAUUUGUUAGUAUUGUAUUUUUUUCUAUUUUAAUAAUAAAUGAAAUAAAUAAUAAAAAAUCUAAAUUACCCUGCAGGAAAGUUAAGUAGCAGCCAUGUUUGUAUAUCACCACAUAUUUACUUCACUGGUUUAAGGUGGUGGCUGUAUUUAGAAAAACACUUCAUCUGGUUUAAAUGAUUAGUAAUGAAUCAAAAAGGUCAAUUUUCACCAUCGAAUUGACACAGUAACGUUUCAUGCACGCUAGAGCUGCAAAGUCACGAUUACACCAGCUGGAGGAUCCAGACGCACAAAUCAACCUUUUGCUCUUCAACAUGAACAUAAAUAAACUGUCAAGGUCUCCCGCAAAAGCCCUUAUCUCUCUGCUAAAAGUCAGACUGCUAGAUUCCUCACUCUGAAUAAAAGUGAAUCCACACGAAUCCUACAAGGCUUUACAACUUAUAAGUUAAAUAAUCAUAUGUGAUGAAUGAACAAGAUGUUUAAAUCAAAUGUUUGAACAAUCUGUGCUCAAAUCAAUGAAUUUGAAAUGAAUAUUGUUCUUACAAUGAUCGAUUUAUAUCACAAAUCACUGUGUUUGAUUUAACAAGUUCAUCGUUGUUUACACUCAUACACCUUACAAUAAGAUACAAGUUAAAGAGUAAGUAAUGUCUAAAUUAACUUUUUUUGCCGAUGAACUGUAUAAAUGAGUGUCUAAUAGUGUUUUCAAUGUGUGUAUUCAUUAUUUUAGCAUUUUGGUGCAUUUUCUUAAAUUUAAAAUUCUGCCUAAAUACCACAGUAUAGCGCCACCUUCAGCUUAAAAGAUAGAGCUUGAGUCAUUUUGAAUACACUUGAGCCAAUGGCUAAAGAGUAAGAUACUAUAUAAACCAGUAGAGUACUACGUAGCAGCUCUGUGUCAAAGUUAUAAAGCAUCGAGUCUCGGCCACGCCUUGUGGCGAGUUGGGAGUUGGAUUUGCAAGUGAGUGUUUGUCCAUUUUGGCCAUGUGAAUGCGCUUUAUAAAUAAAGUUGAUUUGAUUUGAGUGUAGGAUGGUUAGCGGUAGUUCAGCAUUAGCAUAUAGUAUUAGCAUAUCCUAGUCUUUAGCAUAGCUUUUAGUGUUAUACAUACUUAUUUAGUGUUAGCUUGGCUGUUGGAUGUUGUAGUUUAGUUAGUGUUUGGCUGUUAGUGUUAUUAGGAAAGUAAUUCGGGUUUAGUGUUCCAUAUCGUGUUAGUAUGGUAAGAAGGUGUAGUGUAGUGGGUUCGGUGGCUCUGUGGGGUUGCACUCCUUUCCGCUGGACUUAGAAAUUAGGCAUCAGUGAUUGCGCGCAAUCGGUGUACUGGAAAACAGUCAGCUCCCGCCUGGUGCUGUAGUUUGCAACCAGCAUUUUACCCGCGAUUCCUUCGCCAACAUGAUGGACUUUGAACUGGGUUGUUCUGCACGUCUCCGUUUGAAGAGGGAGGCUGUGCCCACCGUGGCUCUUCCGCGAUUUAGAUGCAGCCCACCGACUCUGCUCCCCCACCACGGCGGGCUCCAGUCUGAGGUGAGUAAGCUAAAUAAAAGUUAACAUCUUCUAAAGAAAAUUCCCUACCUAAAUGCAAAGUUUGAGAGACGUGGUUCACUUCAUUUAGCUAUUAUCAGUCUGCACUGCCUUCAGGCUGAUUUGUCAAGUUCACAAAAUGUGGAACGAGAUGUAAGGUUAGAAUCAGCGGCGAAUCGGAACAUAUCUCGAAGCCUGGCCGACGAAAUGGUCCACAUGACUAUUACUGUCAGGCUCGGAGAAAAUUCGGGUUUUUGUGUCAGUCAGUAAUUCUGCUAACAGUGGCUCUACCUAACAGCACUAGCUGACAGACAGCAUUACAGCGUGAAAUCCAGCUUUACACCACAGCGUGACCCGGUUCUGUGAGGAAUUCUGUUCAGGAGGUCACAUUUCAGGCUCUCCACAUCAUAUGUGACUGACAUUUACGUUAUAAUAACGAUCACACACUAGGAAUGUUAUAAAGCACCUAUAUAGGACAGUUUCUUUUGUAUAUUAUCUGACUUUAUAAACUCCAACAACAAUGUGCUUCUAUUUUUGUUCAGGCUAAAUCUGCCAAAGGCACUGGCUGUCAGACUGAUUUAGUAGUCUGCAAGAAUGCACUUGUCCAGGCUGACGUGAAGCCUUACCUGUAGCAAAGCCACCCAGUUUAGAGCUCCCAGCCGCAGUGUGUCUUGUGACACAGGGACCAUGACGGAAAUUAAUCUUCCAGAAAGUCCCAGAGCAGCGUCCACACCCCUGAAAAGACCAAGAUGUGAGGUGUCUGCUGUUGAUUCCAGCUUCCACCUCAGUGACAGUGCAAGCUCAGUGAACUGUUCAAGGUAAAAAAAAAUUAAAACAUUUCAGAAUUUUUAAGAUAUUAACAAUUAAAUAAGUAUGUGAUUACAUCAUGACAUCAUGAAGGAGGCUACUGAUUCUGGCCCUGUGACACUUGGUGGUGACGUGUGAGCUGAUUCCCCUGGACACUCAGCAAAUAUGAACUCUACACCAUGAGGCAGGCACACGUCAAUACUCUAUAAGAGCACAUAAGGUGCAUGAGCAACGCCACAGAUUAUUGUUAUUACUGUACACUGUCCUGAAUUUGUUUUCUUUCUGCAUCUCAUCAUUAGCCUGGCUGAUCACCUGAUAACUCCUGUCAUCUGGUUAUGACAGCAUGAGGAUGUCCUCACACACCUGUAACCUAUCAGCUCAUCUGGCAGAUUAGAGAGAAGAGACACCACAUCUCCUGUUCCUGGAAAGCCUUCAGCCAUCCUUCGAUGACUGAGAACCUCCAUCAGCUCUGUCUCCUGUCUGCCUACAAUUAUUAUAAUAAAAAUUGUGUUUGACAAGUUUUUUGUGCUGCCAAAUAUCUCAUUUUGAUUCCAGUUUUGAUAUUUUAAUGGAUAUUUAUAAAUUACAUUAAUUGAAUUAUCACAUUGUUGCAUGUUUAACUAGCUCUGUUGUGAUGAAUUAAACUAGCACCUCACUGUUAAAAGCUCAUUUUAAUUUCAAGCAUGUUUAAGUAUUUAUGGACAUGAACAAAAACAGGAAAUAUAUAAAUUGAGAUUUAUUUAAUUAAUAUAACAAAUAAGGGGGAAAGAGUCAUUGAAAGGCACAUUCUUCUGGAAGCUCCUGAUCCUGACAACACCAGCAGGAGACCACCUGCAGACACCACAAGAUCUACAACCAAGAGAGUAGCUGGUAUCAGUAAAUAAAUAAUGAAAUCAGGGCAGUUUUAGUGGGCUGUUUGGGAUUGUGUAACAUAAAUUAACACAUUACAGAAUAAUUUUCUCAUGGGGUAUUUUCAUAAUUUUCUCUGCAGCAGACUGUAACUUGAGCCCAGGGCUCCUGGAGAGCUGCUAUCGAGCACGUUUCAGUGGUUUUCCUGCUUUAACAAGUCAGAUUAGCUGUUAAGCAGCUCAGCUAUUUGUUGCUGAUUAAAACCAGGUGUGUUGAAGCAGAUAAAUCUCUAAAACAUGCUGAAUACUAGCUCUAGGGCCGUGGAGCCAAACCCUGCAGCUAAUCUAAUGCUAUGGCUAACGGCUACCUACCAUUCAGAGCUGGUUCUGUUGGGUCGGUUCCGGUAGUUUCAGGCAACACGAGCUCAAAACAAUAAGGCUCAGGUCCGCUUUUCUCCUCCAAAUUGACUUGGUCCCUUUCUUCUCGAGUGUCUGGGUAAGGAAGGGGAGAAACGUCCUCCACUUUUAAUGAGUGGUCAGAGUGAAGGGAGUUAGCAUCGUCUCGUUACCCAUCGUCUUCGUCACUGCCGCGGCUCCACCCUCUCGGUCCACCAGGCAACGCCUACUAAUGUUGCAGUUUUUAAAAUUGAUACGUGGGUGGAGAAGGACUCUGAGGCACACUUGACCCGCUCUUUAUGGUUAAAAACAUUUUUGUAUCUGAAGGAAGGCGUGGCUUUCUGAAGAAUGUUUUGGUAAAACCUUCCAGACAUGGCACAUUCUGAUUUGCCAGACUGGUCAGAAAUCAUAACAAAGUAGUUUAAUAAAACAAGAAUGACUUCCUCAGUGAUUCAGUUUCUAACAGAGUUCCGAACCGGCCAAUUCGGAACCAGAGGUGGAAAGAGUACUAAAAUGUUGUACUUAAGUACAAGUAUAAUUACUUUCAUGAAAUUUUACUCAAUUACAAGUAAAAUUACCUGCCUCAAAAUGUACUCAAGUAAAACUAAAAAGUAGCUUAUUUCAAAUGUAGUCAGAGUAAAAGUUACUUAGUUACUUUUUUGACUGUGCAAGGACGGGCUCUUCUGAAUAGUUAAAAAAAGACAAUGGCGUAUGCAUGUCAAAGUGGCCGUUUUUUUAUUAAAUGAACACAUAUGCAUAUUGAAGUGCAAAGGCAGUUACACUGCAAACUAGUAACAUAAAUUAGGUUAUAGUCACAAGCCCAUGACUCACCCCCCCCCCCCCCCGGCAGAUCCUGAUAGGCCUACCCAGUCUCUCAGCCUCUCCAGUAGCAGGUGAUGGUCAACAGUGUCAAAGGCUGCAGUCAGGUCCAGCAGGACCAGAACAGAACAGUCCCCUGCAUCACUGUGAGUCACAAGGUCAUUAGAGACCCUAAGAAGAGCUGUUUCAGUAGAAUGAGCUCUACGAAAACCUGACUGGAAGAUAUCAUAGAUGUUAUGUUCAUCAAGAGCAGCUGUGAGUUGUUUAGCCACAACCUUUUCCAAGAUCUUGGAGAUGAACGGAAGUUUAGAGAUGGGUCUGAAGCUGCUAUGGAGAGAGGGGUCGAGACUCGUUUUUUUAAGAAGCGGGUGGAUUACAGCGUUCUUAAAGUAAGCAGGGACCUGACCAGAGACCAGAGAAGCAUUAAUUAUAGAGAGCAUGCUGGGACCGAUGGACUGAAAAGCACUUUUAAACAAAGAUGAUGGUAAGAUGUGAUGACUGUUACUUGACUUGCUUCGCCCCAGCCUCUGCCAUCUGGUCAAGAUGUCUUCUCAUAUUGAUCAAACCUGUUGAAUGACAAAUACAUAACACAUAUUUAAUAUAUCUGGUAAUUAAGUUUUGAUAGAAGAUGCAACAAGAAUUGUUUUUAGUAAUACAUGCCUUACAAAUACUAUAAUUUGUGUCGACAGACUUGUAUAAUUGAACUUAAGUAUGUUGACAGGAUUGAAAUGAAUAAGAAACAGAUUAAGGUAUGAUAUUAAAUUAUUAAAAAUUACCUGCUUCAAUGAUAUCGUGCCUCUCAGUCCGGGUGGUCUUGAACUUUGGAAGAAGGAUUGCAGCAGCAGUCAGCUCAGGGUAUUCCAUCAUCUCACCAAAGUGCUUUUGGACACCAUCCUGAAUGGCUCUGAAGAGUGGCUGACACAUCUUGGAGACAGUCUCCAGUCUGCUGAGUUUUUCUUUUAGCUGGAAGAUCACUUGGGGGGCAGGACUAGGAAGCUCAAAAAUGACCAAUCAGAAAAAAAGGAAAUCCCGACUGUACCACAUGACACGGUAGAUUUCUAGUUGUAG